GCUUUCAACAUCCCCGUUCCAUUGCGAAACAGGCAAGGAACUGAAGGC
ncrna:unclassified sequences nadA RNA